CUCUUUAAGCCCCAAAUCCGCCGGUACACACAGCCGUCCGCGGAAGCACAUCAAUCCAUCACCAUCCAAUCCUACUUGGCACGAACGGUUCCGAUUAAACAUUCGAGAUAGCCAUUCUUCCAAAAAUAACAGAAACGUCUAAUCGUCUCAACUCUGCUCAUCCUGGCGAUUGCUUGAUUCCUCAAUCGGCACAGCACUGCGAUGUCUCCACAUCAAUCUCAACUCACCACUCGGGACUAUCCUCAAAUCCUCUGU
rnacentral:lncRNA from 1 species